GGGCUCUCAGAGGGGUUGGCAGUACUGCUCUGAGGCCUGCCUCUCCCCAG
rnacentral:miRNA from 1 species